rnacentral:pre_miRNA from 1 species
AUUCUACUCCCUCCGUUGCACAAUACAUGCCUUCUAUUUGUCAAAAUAUAUAUGUAUCUAGACAUGUCUUAGUAUAUAGGUACAUCCACUUUUGGACAAAUGGAAGUCAAGUAUUUUGGAACGGAGGGAGUACACA